CUGGAAACGGUAGCUAAUACCGCAUAACGUCGCAAGACCAAAGAGGGGGACCUUCGGGCCUCUUGCCAUCGGAUGUGCCCAGAUGGGAUUAGCUAGUAGGUGGGGUAACGGCUCACCUAGGCGACGAUCCCUAGCUGGUCUGAGAGGAUGACCAGCCACACUGGAACUGAGACACGGUCCAGACUCCUACGGGAGGCAGCAGUGGGGAAUAUUGCACAAUGGGCGCAAGCCUGAUGCAGCCAUGCCGCGUGUAUGAAGAAGGCCUUCGGGUUGUAAAGUACUUUCAGCGGGGAGGAAGGGAGUAAAGUUAAUACCUUUGCUCAUUGACGUUACCCGCAGAAGAAGCACCGGCUAACUCCGUGCCAGCAGCCGCGGUAAUACGGAGGGUGCAAGCGUUAAUCGGAAUUACUGGGCGUAAAGCGCACGCAGGCGGUUUGUUAAGUCAGAUGUGAAAUCCCCGGGCUCAACCUGGGAACUGCAUCUGAUACUGGCAAGCUUGAGUCUCGUAGAGGGGGGUAGAAUUCCAGGUGUAGCGGUGAAAUGCGUAGAGAUCUGGAGGAAUACCGGUGGCGAAGGCGGC
rnacentral:rRNA from 1 species